rnacentral:tRNA from 1 species
GGGCCAUUAGCUCAGUUGGUUAGAGCUACCGGCUCAUAACCGGUUGGUGCUGGGUUCGAGUCCUAGAUGGCCCACCA